rnacentral:rRNA from 1 species
GACGAACGCUGGCGGCGCGCUUAACACAUGCAAGUCGAGCGAGAACCAGGACUUCGGUCCUGGGGACAGCGGCGAACGGGUGAGUAACACGUGGAUAACCUGCCCUCGGCACCGGGAUAGCCCGGGGAAACCCGGAUUAAUACCGGAUGGCCCUUCCGGCUCACGAGCCGGUCGGAAAAGGUAGCUUCGGCCUCCGGCCGAGGAUGGGUCCGCGGCGGAUUAGCUUGUUGGUGGGGUAACGGCCUACCAAGGCUCCGAUCCGUAGCUGGUCUGAGAGGACGAUCAGCCACACUGGGACUGAGACACGGCCCAGACUCCUACGGGAGGCAGCAGUGGGGAAUCUUGCGCAAUGGGCGAAAGCCUGACGCAGCGACGCCGCGUGAGGGAGGAAGGCCUUCGGGUUGUAAACCUCUUUCAGGAGGGACGAAGCUACUCGGGUGAAUAGCCCAGAGGGUGACGGUACCUCCAGAAGAAGCCCCGGCUAACUACGUGCCAGCCGCCGCCGUAA